rnacentral:lncRNA from 1 species
GCCCAACUUCCCAGAGAGUCACCCAUGCAUCCUAGGACUAUUCCCGUCCUACCACGCUUAACUCUUUUAACCUUAAUUUUGGGCCUAACUAUCAGCCGAAAUGCUUAAGCCGGGUUAAAAGUUCUAACCCUAUUAUAUCUUAUAUAUAGGACUAACUGGGGUCUCACAGAGUGGGCUCGAAAUGGUUAUCUCGGAGACUGCAAGAUGCUGUCAGUGGUUGGUGUGUGCAGAUUUUUGUGUAUCUGAUACUCAAAACAUGUUAAUGAAGUCCGUUUAGUU